UGUACAAAUUAUUGUAUUCGACUGUAUUCUCGGCGUGAAACAGGGGAUUACACUGUUUUUAAAUAGAAAGUGAAUCAAUUAACAUAAUAAACUCCU
rnacentral:pre_miRNA from 1 species